rnacentral:rRNA from 1 species
AUGGCCUCCGGUCAGCAGGAGAGGUCGCAGCUGGACCGCAAGGCCCGCGAGGGCGAGACCGUCGUCCCCGGCGGCACCGGCGGCACCAACCUGCAGGCGCAGGAGAACCUCGCCGAAGCCGCGGCGGGCAGACGCGCAAGGAGCAGAUGGGGGAGGAAGAGCACCAACGACGAGUCCGGCGGCGAGCGCGCCGCCAGGGAGGGCAUCGACGUCGACGAGUCCAAGUUCAAGACCAAGUCCUAG